rnacentral:rRNA from 1 species
UACGUAGGGACCGAGCGUUGUCCGGAUUCAUUGGGCGUAAAGAGCUCGUAGGCGGCUGCUCAAGUCGAAUGUGAAAACUCGAGGCUCAACCUCGAGCCUGCAUUCGAUACUGGGCGGCUAGAGUCUGGUAGGGGGAUCUGGAAUUCCUGGUGUAGCGGUGAAAUGCGCAGAUAUCAGGAGGAACACCGGUGGCGAAGGCGGGUCUCUGGGCCGAUACUGACGCUGAGGAGCGAAAGCAUGGGUAGCGAAGCAGG